ensembl:lncRNA
GUGGCCUUCAUUUAUUUCCAUAGAAUUUGUAUAAUUAAUAAAAACAAGUGAUUCUUAUCAUCAGGCAAGGCUGGAAAACACCCCUGCUACUCAAACUGUGGUCCCCACGGCAGCAGCAGCACCUGGGAGCUUGUUAGAGAUGGAGAUUCGCAGGCUCCGCCCCAGACCUGCUGAUUCAGAAGCUGCGCCUUAAACAGGAUCCUGGAGGUGACCCUCCAGCACGUUGCAGUGUGAACAGCAUUGACCAGGAGCAUUGAUCCAGGUCAGUGGGUCUCAGCCCUGGGUGCACAUUAGGAUUCUCUGGGGGCUGUUUGAAGUAGCAAAGCCUGUCCUCCAUACUCAGAGCAUCUGCUAUAAUUGGCCCUGGCUGGGGCUCGCGUGUCAGUGGUCUUAAACGCUCUCCAGUUGAUGCUCACAUGCAGCCAGUGUGAAGACCCACUGAGCUAGGACAACGGUUCUCACUUCGGUGUGUGUCACAUCCUCUGGAGAGCUCACCAUGGACACAGAGGGCCCGCUUGCCGAGGAGGAUAGUCCUAGGCUUGGUGAGAAUAACCAAGUUCCCAGGCAGUUGUGAAACUGGCCAAAGCAGGAGCAGCUCUGGUCUCAAGGAACGGCUGUGAGGGGUCCCCGCAGCCUCCCAGGCAGCUCUCCCUUCUCCCUCAUUCUUCUUCUUCCUCAAUGCUGCUUGGCCAGCACCACGGCUCCUAAAGCACAAGGAACGAGAGAUUCUCAGAACUGGAAGGAACAGAGGCAUCUUUGAGCACGAUGAAAAAACCAAGUCCCACGCCCAGUGGAAGCUCAAAGUCCCUGACUCACGGUCAGGCCUGGGACUUAGAGUCAAAAUUCUGACAGCUUCCUGUUGUGAGAGGGCCGGGAUUCUGCCUCCUGAGAACCGACUUCCCCCCAGGGCACCAGGACCUAGACUCCCCCCCCCCCCAAGUUCCCACUCGGAACUUGAAGUACAAGCAAUCUCUGCUUUUGACCUUGGGGCUGUCGCCUACUCAGAUGCACCUACACAGCAAGUUAUCUAACCUCUCUGAGCCCCAGCGAACUCAUCUACACAAUGAGAAUAACAGCAGUCUGAUCUCUCGGGUUAUUUGAGGGUUAAACUAAAUCGUGUUUGUAAAACAUUAUUCUGGCACCUGAGACACAGGAAGGGCUCCACAGUGUGCACCAAGAACUACUAAUGACUUUUUUCCAUGUAUGUGUUCCCCUGAGAACGCUGUCACUGUCCGGCAUUCACCAUGGUCACCGUUUAGCUUCUGCCAACCCCAAAUUUACUCAGAAGCAUUGUGUUAAGAGAGCCCCCUAUUGGAUGAGCAGCUUUAGGCAAAGCUCUUAAAACUUGCUAAGCCUCAGUCUUUUCCAUCAGUAAAAUAGGGAUAAUAAUAGCACUAACUACUCAGAGAUGUCUGAAGUUUAAAUGAGAAACGCUUGUACUGCGCUUGCCCAUUUCAGCACGCAGCUCCCAGUCAAUAGCCUCAGGCUUUUAACUCCUCCAAGCCGAGUCGCCACCUAGUGGUGUAAGCGAGUAACUGCAGGGCAUAAGAGGAAAGGAAGGCAAAAACAGCGCCCCCCUGGCUGGAGAGAAAAGUCUGAUUUGACACUAGAAAGUGAAGUCAGAAGUGGCUGGCUACUCAAUGAGCUUAGGAAUUGUCCCAGGUCCAUUCCUGGACCCCUCUCUGCCAUUGCACUCCACUCCUCAUGGCAGCCCUGGCUUCUCAGCUUGUUUGGGGAUUCUCUUCCUGACCGUGGCCAGCUGGUCCCUGGACUGAACUGCUUGGCCCCUGGUUUUGGUUCAUGGUUAUUUGGAGUGCUGCUUGACCACUGGUUUGGUUCAUGUGUCCAGUUUCUGGUCUCGACUAUUUAGUCGUUGUAUGCUGCGCAUGUUUGGACCCUAAUUCGGCUUCGCACCAUGACACAGCUCAAGCCAGCUGGUCUUCCCCCAGCUGUGGAUAAGAGCUGCUCCUCUCUGCUGGGAAAUGGGGCAGCUUGGGGGCCCCUUCCCUUUCAUAAGAGACCUGGAUACGGACCCUGCCCUGCCCGGAAGAAACCUGAACCACAGUGAGGUGGCAUCAUCUACUCGACGCUGUCAAAUGGGGCCGCUAAUCCGCAAAAGUGCCCUGGGCUGGCGUCUGAAAAUGUAGCUUGUGGCUUCUUUUCUCUGCCACUGCCCUCAUUCUCACUCCUCCCCAAGCAGGAGCCAGAAGAAGAGCAAGAUCCUCCUCCUGGAGGGGAAGGGUGCCACGAGGCUCAGGUGGGCUGAAGGGUGUCUUAUGUUUCCCACCAUCCUAAUAAUGGCAGGGGGAGGCCAUGCCAUGUGAAUGGGGCCUCUCCACACUUUCGUUCUCCC